rnacentral:miRNA from 1 species
UGGGUUGGCCAAAAAGUUCGUUUGGGUUUUUCCGUAAGAUCUUAUGGACAAACCUGAACAAAUCUUUUGGCCAACUCA